rnacentral:lncRNA from 1 species
ACCUAGGUCAUAAAACAGGCACAAAACCCCACAUUCAGGAGGCGGAUGAUGGCAAAUUUAACCUCCUCCACUUCUAAUUCCUCCACAGCAAUGAAGCCUACUACUUUUAAACCAAAGCCAAAAAUUGAGCAACUCUGUUGAAAGAUUGGUGUGUUUGGGUACCAGACCCCGCUCCUUCCCGUCACUACCAGGGCAGAACGCACCAAGGACCAGACCCCUUAAGAAGGUUGACAAAAUGACAUUGGUUUCUGUUGGGACCUGAGCAUCCAGGGGGCAAAAGCUGCCAAGAAGCAGAAGAGCCUGGAUGGCAGUAUCUCAACUACUGAAAUGCCUGAUUAUCUUCAAAACUACUCUACACUUGAAAUCUUCCUGAUCGUACUUCAAGAAUUCGUUCCAGGUGGAGGACACAGCAGCCAGGGCUAUGGGGAAGAAUCUGGUAAGCAUCUAUCCCACCUUCCUCUGUAAGGGCUACUCAGUUUAAUGGAAAAUGUAUCAAAAACAUUGGUUGCCCGGAGCAACAGCAGGAAACCUUCUGCAGCUUUCAGACACCACAGGCAGGCUGGAGAGCAGGGUGGGGGCUGG